rnacentral:rRNA from 1 species
UGAGUAACCUGCCCUUAACUCUGGGAUAAGCCUGGGAAACUGGGUCUAAUACCGGAUAUGACUCCUCAUCGCAUGGUGGGGGGUGGGAAAGCUUUAUUGCGGUUUUGGAUGGACUCGCGGCCUAUCAGCUUGUUGGUGAGGUAAUGGCUCACCAAGGCGACGACGGGUAGCCGGCCUGAGAGGGUGACCGGCCACACUGGGACUGAGACACGGCCCAGACUCCUACGGGAGGCAG